rnacentral:rRNA from 1 species
GCAUAUCAUAAGCGGGAGGAAAAGAAACUAACCAAGGAUUCCCUAGUAACUGCGAGUGAAGCGGGAAAAGCUCAAAUUUAAAAUCUGGCAGUCUUUGGCUGUCCGAGUUGUAAUCUAGAGAAGUAUUAUCCGCGCUGGACCGUGUACAAGUCUCCUGGAAUGGAGCGUCAUAGAGGGUGAGAAUCCCGUCUUUGACACGGACUGCCAGGGCUUUGUGAUAUGCUCUCAAAGAGUCGAGUUGUUUGGGAAUGCAGCUCAAAAUGGGUGGUAAAUUCCAUCUAAAGCUAAAUAUUGGCGAGAGACCGAUAGCGAACAAGUACCGUGAGGGAAAGAUGAAAAGAACUUUGGAAAGAGAGUUAAACAGUACGUGAAAUUGCUGAAAGGGAAACGCUUGAAGUCAGUCGCGUUGGCCAGGGAUCAACCUUGCUUUUUUGCUUGGCUUACUUUCUGGUCGAUGGGUCAGCAUCAAUUUUGACCGGUGGAAAAAGUUCAAAGGAAUGUGGCAUCUUCGGAUGUGUUAUAGCCUUUGUUCACAUACAUUGGUUGGGAUUGAGGAACUCAGCACGCCGCAAGGCCGGGUUUUUAACCACGUACGUGCUUAGGAUGCUGGCAUAAUGGCUUUAAUCGACCCGUCUUGAAACACGGACCAAGGAGUCUAACAUGCCUGCGAGUAUUUGGGUGAAAAACCCGAGUGCGUAAUGAAAGUGAAAGUUGAGAUCCCUGUCGUGGGGAGCAUUGACGCCCGGAUCUGACCUUUUGUGACGAUUCUGCGGUAGAGCAUGUAUGUUGGGACCCGAAAGAUGGUGAACUAUGCCUGAAUAGGGUGAAGCCAGAGGAAACUCUGGUGGAGGCUCGUAGCGAUUCUGACGUGCAAAUCGAUCGUCAAAUUUGGGUAUA